ACUUCUCUAGCAUUAUAUGUCUCAUAUUUGAGUGAUUGACGAACAGAUGUGUUACAUGUAGGAAAAAAGAAACAGAAAAAUGGAAGAACCACCAUUUAAUGGUGAUUCUGGAGUUAGGUUCUCUAUAUUUGGUUAUUCAAUCGAGAAACAUUUUAGGGUAAUGGAUACAAUCUCUAGAUUUGUGAAGAACCCAAGAUUGAUGGUCUCGAUGAAACUGAUAUCCGGAGAUUCUCUUCUUCAAUCACUUUCUUAAGGGAAUGGAGGCAUUUUAAUUAUGAACCGAGGAUCAUUGGGUUUGCUAGCGAACUAGGAGACUCACCGGGUAAAGAUGUUUCUGGUGGCAUAAACUUGCCUCAGUUUUCAUCAGCAACUGUUCCCAAGCAGGAAGGACUACGAGUAAGUAAUGCAUCUCCAGAA